rnacentral:rRNA from 1 species
UGGGCGCAAGCCUGAUGCAGCGACGCCGCGUGAGGGAUGACGGCCUUCGGGUUGUAAACCUCUUUCAGUACCGACGAAGCGCAAGUGACGGUAGGUACAGAAGAAGCACCGGCCAACUACGUGCCAGCAGCCGCGGUAAUACGUAGGGUGCGAGCGUUGUCCGGAAUUACUGGGCGUAAAGAGCUCGUAGGCGGUUUGUCGCGUCGUCUGUGAAAACCCGCAGCUCAACUGCGGGCUUGCAGGCGAUACGGGCAGACUUGAGUACUGCAGGGGAGACUGGAAUUCCUGGUGUAGCGGUGAAAUGCGCAGAUAUCAGGAGGAACACCGGUGGCGAAGGCGGGUCUCUGGGCAGUAACUGACGCUGAGGAGCGAAAGCGUGGGUAGCGAACAGGAUUAGAUACCCUGGUAGUCCACGCCGUAAACGGUGGGCGCUAGGUGUGGGUUUCCUUCCACGGGAUCCGUGCCGUAGCUAACGCAUUAAGCGCCCCGCCUGG